GGGGAAUUGUUCGCAAUGGGCGCAAGCCUGACGACGCAACGCCGCGUGGAGGAUGAAGGUCUUCGGAUUGUAAACUCCUGUUGCCCGGGACGAACGGCUUCGACCUAACACGUCGAAGUUUGACGGUACCGGGUGAGGAAGCCCCGUCUCACUCUGUGCCCGCAGCCGCGGUAAUACAGAGGGGGCAAGCGUUGUUCGGAAUUACUGGGCGUAAAGGGCGCGUAGGCGGCCUGCUAAGUCGAACGUGAAAUCCCCGAGCUCAACUCGGGAACUGCGUCCGAUACUGGCAGGCUUGAAUCCGGGAGAGGGAUGCGGAAUUCCAGGUGUAGCGGUGAAAUGCGUAGAUAUCUGGAGGAACACCGGUGGCGAAGGCGGCAUCCUGGACCGGCAUUGACGCUGAGGCGCGAAAGCCAGGGGAGCAAAC
rnacentral:rRNA from 1 species